UACGUAGGGUGCGAUCGUUGUCCGGAAUUAUUGGGCGUAAAGGGCUCGUCGGCGGUCUGUCACGUCGAAAGUGAAAACUCAGGGCUUAACCCUGAGCCUGCUUCCGAUACGGGCAGACUAGAGGUAUGCAGGGGAGAACGGAAUUCCUGGUGUAGCGGUGAAAUGCGCAGAUAUCAGGAGGAACACCGGUGGCGAAGGCGGUUCUCUGGGCAUUACCUGACGCUGAGGAGCGAAAGUGUGGGGAGCGAACAGG
rnacentral:rRNA from 1 species